UUUCCCGCUUACUUCCGCCAUGAUGAAAGAGGCUGCGGUCCCUCGGAGACUUUGGCCUGGGCCUUGGAGGCGUGCCUGUGUGGCCCGGCCUCCUUCCUGCCUCCUCUUCUCUGAAGAGAGAUGGCGCUGGGCGGGCUGCGAGUGCUGGAGCUGGCGGGCCUGGCCCCGGCCCCGCUUUGCGGCCUUCUCCUGGCCGACUUCGGGGCCCAGGUGGUGCGCGUGGACCGCUGCCCGCGCGCCGCCGCCACUCCCGACGUGCAGGCCCGGGGCAAGCGCUCGCUGGCCGUGGACCUCAAGCAGCCUCGCGGCGCGGCGCUCCUCCGCAGGCUCUGCCGCAAGGCCGACGUCCUCAUCGAGCCCUUCCGCCCAGGUGUUAUGGAAAAACUGGGUCUUUCUCCAGAUCUCCUCCUUCAGGAUAACCCCAGACUCAUCUAUGCCAGGUUAACUGGAUUUGGCAACGCAGGAAAAUACGCCCCGUUGGCAGGUCAUGAUAUCAACUAUUUGGCGGUCUCAGGUGUUUUGUCAAAGCUUGGCAGAAAAGAUGAAAAUCCUUAUGCCCCAGUCAAUGUUCUGGCUGAUUUUGCUGGUGGUGGCGUCAUGUGUGCAAUGGGCAUCCUUAUAGCCCUCCACGAACGCACUAAAUCUGGGAAAGGACAAGUCAUUGAUGCAAGUAUGGUAGAAGGUACAGCAUACCUAAGCUCUUUUCUAUGGAAAUCACAAAAAAUUGGCCUUUGGGCCAGGCCUCGCGGGGAGAACCCGUUGGACAGCGGAGCCCCUUUCUAUGAAACAUAUAAGACCUCAGAUGGGAAAUACAUGGCUGUCGGUGCUCUUGAACCACAAUUUUACAAGCAGUUCAUAAUUGAAUGACCCUCAACUCGUCCAUAUGUCAUAUCAAAAUUCAUACUUUUGACCCUGUAACUUGCCUUUGAGUGAUACAGUGCAUGAGUCAACCUGUACAUGAAUAUAUGUGGUAAGAGGUUGCUCGGGAACAUCCUUAUCACUGAAGAAGAACUGUACAAUCAUCCCAUCUUAUUUGAGUAUUGCCAAACCAUCUCUGAAAAUUUCUCAUCUAAUAAAGACCUCUGAAAUUUAUGACAUUGCCAUAAUUUGACAGGUGAUUUGAAGGCACGUGUACACACACAUACAUUCCUAACCUUAAUCAGAUGCUGACAAGUUUAUACUGUUGUUAAUUUUUUGAAGAAUUGUGCUAUGCUGUAACGAAGAAGUAGAAAAAAAAGAAGUAGUACAAUGUUAGGGAGAUUAAUGGGAACCCGGGGUACUAGAUAAGUUUGGAUUCCAGGGUGAGUUGGGAUUUAUUUUAUGCUUGAAAAUGUUCACUUUUCAAUUGAUAUUUAUGUAUAUUUGUAUUUCAGAUUGGUUGUAAGCAGAAUAGUGUAAAUCUCAGGAGUCACAUGGAGGUACAAAUGAGAUGAUCAAUCAAUUUGAGCUAUAAAAGAAGUGAGCCAGGUUCUUGUAGAAAAAGACUAAGGGAGAUAUAUAAAUAUGGCUAGGCAUAGAAACUAAGCAAGUGAGAAAAAAGUGGGGAAAUUACCACAAUUGAUUCAAUUCUUAUAUCGGUAGAUCUAUGUUUAGACGUCUCAACCAUUAUAAUUUCAGGAUAUUAUUCUGGUUUUGACUCAAUCAGAAAAGUCUUCAACAGAGGAAUAAAUGACUGGCCACCCUCUUUGUUAAAUAUUUAAAUAGCUCAAAAUACUGUUGGUAUUAUUUGAUAAACAUAUUUACUGUUAUAGCUGAAACCAAGUGUAUUGAAUAUUAGCCUUGAGGGCAAAUGCAUUAUAUUAGUUCAAACUAAAUUGUACCUUUUCCUUUUUCUGGAUUUCUGUUAUCAAGUAUUUUAUUCAGUAAACCCUGCUUAAAACCUUAGCCAGGGUUGAACAAGUGUGAGAGAUGGAGGACACAUUGGCAUCCUAUGGGAAAGGGCUGUUUAUUAUUAUUAUUAUUAUUAUUAUUAUUAUUAUUAUUAUUAUUACUACUAUUAUUAACAGCAGCAACAACUUUAUUUUUAUAUCCUGCCACCAUCUCCCCAAGGGGACUCGGGGCGGCUCACAUGGGGCGAAGCCCAACAACACAAUUAAAAUCAAAAUUACAUAAAAAUGCAAUUCACAGUUUAAAAAAGAAUAAAACAACAACAAUAGGGUUGCUAUGAGUUUUCCGGGAUGGAUGGCCAUGUUCCAGAAGCAUUCUCUCCUGACAUUUUGCCCACAUCUAUGGCAGGCAUCCUCAGAGGUUGUGACCUCACAAUACAUCACAAAUACUACAAGCUAACUUCUGUGUUGCCACAAAUAAAUCAGCAUGGACAACUAAUCUCAUCCAUCUUGAUAAUGGGGAAGACAGGAAUGGGGUCUGGAGUGGGCUUACUGUUACAGAAGUUUAAAGCAUUGCAAGAGUUCUGUGGCUCCUCAUAAAGACAACUGUGCUUUCUCCUCUCUGUGGAAUGAUCCCAAACUUAUUCACGGGCCAUAUCAAAAUUCAUAAUUUUAGCCCCAAAACCUGUCUUUAAAAUAUAUAUGAUGUUGAUAUAUACAUGAAUAUAUAUGUUGUAUAUGCGUGCGUGUUCAUUAUGCAUUAUUAAUUUUUUUAUUAUCCCAUAUAUUGGUGGAGCAGAGAGCAUUGGCAUCCAAGUCACUUUGUUGUAACAUACAUAGCUAGCCCAAACUAUGCUACAUAACUCUCACUCAAAGAUGUUUCUUUACCAGCAAUUCCUUUUUUCUACCAUUUUUAGCAAAUAUACAGAGAUGCAAUCUACUCCGUAACUCCUCUGAGUUCUUCAGCUCACCUAAAUAAUGCAUUGGAUAUCAGCAAACCAACUAGUUUGUUCCGCAGAUCAAUAUACAAAUCCUAAACUAAGCAUAUGCUAAGGUUCCCUAACAUGAACUGUGAUUGUGAUUAUAUUUAGAUCAGCUCCAGUUCCACAUGGACUCUAUUCAUCUUUCUUUUAGUGUGUCUCCUUUGUUACAUUAGAUUUAUGAGCCUCAAAUAUCACUAGAUUCUCAUCCCCAUGGAAAUGCUGGUCUACUGAUGACAUUUUGAUAUGUCAUGUGCACAAGCUCCCUGUUUUCAAUAGUGCAGCCCUAAUUGAAAGACUGUUGUUAUCCAGAUUCCCAGCUCAUAUAGAAAUUGAGGCCCCUGGACUUAAGUGAAAUUUUCAGAGUUUGGCAGUGAGCAAAGGAAAGAGAUAGCUAUCAAAUGAAGCAGAAAUGUGCUUACUUGAGUAUACUCCUCAGCUUUUGAAUUAAGAAACCGUGUUUCAGGAAGCAAGGGAAGAAUAUGAAAAUGUUAUAUUUUUCCACCUGCGGUAAGCAAUCAUAGUACUCUAGUUGAGUUAUUUUAUUUGCAAUCUGUUUUCUUGUAUAACUUGUAAAUGAUCCCAUAUCAGUUCAGGGUCACAGUUUUUUUUACCUUGUGACAGUACAACUCCGAUGACAGUUCCACUUGCCUCAAGUUGGCAUUUUUUGUUAAAAUACACGAGUAUUUUACUAUUGUAGCGUGUGGUUUGAAAACUGGACUAUAACUCUGGAGACCCGGGUUUGAUCCCCGCUUGGGCAUAGAAACCCUCUGGAUAAUCUUGUAUACAUCACACUCCCUCAGCCUUAGAAAACCCCAUGAUAGGUUCGCCUUAGGGUCACCAUAAAGGUCACCAUAAGUCAGAAAUGACAUGAAAACAUACAACAACAUACCAUAUAUACUCGAAUAUACGCUGACCCGAAUAUAAGCCGAGGCAUCUAAUUUUACCAUUAAAAAACUGGGAAAUCAUUGACUCAAGUAUAAGCCGAUGGUGGGAAAUUUCAGAAAUAAAAAAUAGAUACCAAUAAAAUUACAUUAAUUGAGGCAUCAGUAGGUUAAAUGUUUUUAAAUAUUUACAUCAAGCUCUAAUUUAAGAUAAGACUGUCCAACUCUGAUCAAGUCAUUAUUCUCACCUUCUUCAAUGUAAAUGUGCUUAUGUAUCCUUUUAAUAAUAAUAGAGUAAAAUAAUAUAUGUAAUAAUAAAUAGAGUAAAAUAAUAAAUGCAAUAAUAAUAAUAAGAUCAGAGUGAAAUAAUAAAUGUAUUAUUAAUAAUAAUAAAUAUAGAGUAAAAUAAAUGUAAUAGUAGCAACAAUAAUAGAGAAAAAUAAUAAAUGUAAUAAUACCAAUAAUAAUAGAGAAAAAUAAUAAAUGUAACAUAUAUUCUCCAGUAUAAGCUGACCCAAAUAUAAGCCAACCAGGACUCUCACCCGAGUAUAAGCCGAGGGGGGCGUUUUCAGUCUUUAAAAAAGGGCUGAAAAACUAGGGUUAUACUUGAGUAUAUACAGUACAUUUUGUAAUUACCAGUAAAUCAGUAUUAAACACAAAGAGAAAUCAAUUUGUGAGUGAUAAUCUCCAUUUUUUUGUCCCAACCCUGUUGUUCAUUUAUAGUUGUCAUAUGCUGAUGUCCUGACAGUAAUUAGCAACAACAAAUUAUAAAAUAUCUGCCCAUCAAAGCAUACUGGAUACCAACUUUGCAAUUAUCUUGGUGGCAACUCCCUCCUGUUUUUUCUUGGUUUAGAUUGCAUGUUAAGGAGUAUUUAUGUUUUUACUUUUGUUGUUCCAGUCCUAUGUAUCCACUGCACUGAUAUCCAUAAUCAUAAAGGGUGAUUUUAAAGUGCUUUAGUAAUCAAAAUCUAUGUAUUUUAUUUAUUUGAAAUGUUUCUUUCCUGCCUUGCCAUUCAGGAGAGUGUUCAAAGAGGCAUAACAUCAGCAUGUAAGUCUAGUUAUACAGUAACAUAGCAACAUAAUCAGCAGCAGUAAAACAGCAAUCCCUGAAUAAAGCUAUAAUGAUAACAAUUUUCUGGUAUGAAGUACGUUUCUCAUCCCUGAGCCUGGAUGACAAAUCAGUGGUAUGCUUCCCAAGAAAAAGGUGUUUUUGGCUAAAGGUAUUCCCCCCCCCCCCAAUUUCCUACCCCUCAACUUCUGUGAAACUACCAUAAAACACAAUAAACACCAAAGUCAAAGAUAAAGAGCUUCUGGCUGGUUUAUUUUAUUAUAGGUUUAGAACACUGCACUGGUUAUUGACUAAUAAAUGUGUCAUAUAAAAAUAUUUAAAUGUGGCCUUUUUCUAUUUCCUAUUUGCAAUAUGCCUGAAAAUUGAUUAGGUUUGGCUUCUUUCCACUGUAAUUUUUAUAUAUAAUCACAUAAUGGGAUCAUGAUUUUAUAUCGCUUCAGUUAGGACAUGCUGUUUUAUAUAAAGCAAAAAACAAAUACUGAAUAGUCGAGGCUUCAGUUUGAAAAUGUUCUCAUCAUAAAAAUGACUAUUAUAAGUGGGAAGUAUUUCAUGCACUAUAAUAUGCAUCCAUGUGUAAUUUACUAUCACUUUAAUUUCCUGUUCUCUCCUUGUACUCUGUUGAGUAGAACAUUAGAAGUGAUAUAAAAUAUGACAUAAGUUGAACACUAGUAUAUGAGUCUGUAACUUCCUAGAUGUUUUUGGACAGCAACUCCUAUUAUCCCUGAUUAAUAGUAUCUGGAAGGCAUAAUCUAGUACAUUUUUGGUGUUAUUCCAGAGAAGCUGUACUCCUGAUGAGGAGUCUGCAUUGCAAGCUCCACAACAUGAAUUUCCUACUUUAGUAAUGGGAGCCAGCAACAGAAUAGUACAAUAUGCAACUUUCCAUAUACCUGAAUCUGUAAGGAUCCAAAGAGCUGCAAUACCCGAUUGGUGAAAUCAGUAUCCUUUGGAUAAAUAUGAAACUUGUACAGGCCAGAGGCAAACACUGCAGUCCAGGAAGCAUCUUUCUCUUGUCCCUCUACUCUUAACUCUCCUUUCACAGAUAGCAAUGUAGUGACAUAGUGUGAAUAUUGAUAACCGAGGUGGUUGUUUUGUUUUAUUUUUAUCCUCAGAUCUUUAAUACAGAUGUUUAAAAUGUUUAGUAGUGCUUAAAGUUAGAAAGUAUUUCCAGUACCCUUUCAAUUUAUGCAGGGAAUAGGCCAGGUUUUAUAUAGGAUAUUGUCCCCUAAGUUCAGUUCAAAUUUUGAAUGUUCACUUAUUCAAGGAGUCAACCAGAGUUUGAAGGAUGAAAGUCAGCAACUGCCAAAGGGAUUACCUGUCAUUUCAGGGCAGAGUAGUAUGUUUAGAGGUGUGCAUAGUAAAUUUGUCUAAGACUAUUCAUUCUUCUAGCCCAGUAUCAUUUAUUUAAUGUCAGUUGUAAAGGCCUAAGUCUGAGGAAAGUCAGAAGCUAUGAGACCAAAUGAGUGAACUUCACAUCAACAGUAGCAGAGUUAAUGGUCUGGGACUAGAUUCCCACAAACUUCCACAUCAGAUGAGUUUGUCUGACUGGCCUGAAAUGAAGAAGGCCUUUGCAGAUGUGUUCUUGACAAAAACCCAAGCAGAAUGGUGUGCCAUCUUUGAUGGCACUGAUGCC